rnacentral:tRNA from 1 species
GGGAGCGGAUGGGGCUCUGGUGUCCCCCCCGGUCUUCAAAACCGUGCGGGAGGCGCGUGACGUCUCCGGUGGGUUCGAUUCCCACACGUUCCCGCCA